ACUCCGGAGUGUGAUGGGCUAUCCCGAGUGCCUCCGCUGAGGAGGCUUUUACCCAUUCUAAAAAGCUGGGGGAAUAAGGAGAGGGCAAGUCUGGUGUCCGCCGCCGC
rnacentral:rRNA from 1 species